rnacentral:rRNA from 1 species
CUACAGGCUUAACACAUGCAAGUCGAGGGGCAGCAUGGUCUUAGCUUGCUAAGGCCGAUGGCGACCGGCGCACGGGUGAGUAACACGUAUCCAACCUGCCGUCUACUCUUGGACAGCCUUCUGAAAGGAAGAUUAAUACAAGAUGGCAUCAUGAGUCCGCAUGUUCACGUGAUUAAAGGUAUUCCGGUAGACGAUGGGGAUGCGUUCCAUUAGAUAGUAGGCGGGGUAACGGCCCACCUAGUCUUCGAUGGAUAGGGGUUCUGAGAGGAAGGUCCCCCACAUUGGAACUGAGACACGGUCCAAACUCCUACGGGAGGCAGCAGUGAGGAAUAUUGGUCAAUGGGCGAGAGCCUGAACCAGCCAAGUAGCGUGAAGGAUGACUGCCCUAUGGGUUGUAAACUUCUUUUAUAAAGGAAUAAAGUCGGGUAUGGAUACCCGUUUGCAUGUACUUUAUGAAUAAGGAUCGGCUAACUCCGUGCCAGCAGCCGCGGUAAUACGGAGGAUCCGAGCGUUAUCCGGAUUUAUUGGGUUUAAAGGGAGCGUAGAUGGAUGUUUAAGUCAGUUGUGAAAGUUUGCGGCUCAACCGUAAAAUUGCAGUUGAUACUGGAUAUCUUGAGUGCAGUUGAGGCAGGCGGAAUUCGUGGUGUAGCGGUGAAAUGCUUAGAUAUCACGAAGAACUCCGAUUGCGAAGGCAGCCUGCUAAGCUGCAACUGACAUUGAGGCUCGAAAGUGUGGGUAUCAAACAGGAUUAGAUACCCUGGUAGUCCACACGGUAAACGAUGAAUACUCGCUGUUUGCGAUAUACAGCAAGCGGCCAAGCGAAAGCGUUAAGUAUUCCACCUGGGGAGUACGCCGGCAACGGUGAAACUCAAAGGAAUUGACGGGGGCCCGCACAAGCGGAGGAACAUGUGGUUUAAUUCGAUGAUACGCGAGGAACCUUACCCGGGCUUAAAUUGCAGAUGAAUUACGGUGAAAGCCGUAAGCCGCAAGGCAUCUGUGAAGGUGCUGCAUGGUUGUCGUCAGCUCGUGCCGUGAGGUGUCGGCUUAAGUGCCAUAACGAGCGCAACCCUUGUUGUCAGUUACUAACAGGUUCUGCUGAGGACUCUGACAAGACUGCCAUCGUAAGAUGUGAGGAAGGUGGGGAUGACGUCAAAUCAGCACGGCCCUUACGUCCGGGGCUACACACGUGUUACAAUGGGGGGUACAGAGGGCCGCUACCACGCGAGUGGAUGCCAAUCCCCAAAACCUCUCUCAGUUCGGACUGGAGUCUGCAACCCGACUCCACGAAGCUGGAUUCGCUAGUAAUCGCGCAUCAGCCACGGCGCGGUGAAUACGUUCCCGGGCCUUGUACACACCGCCCGUCAAGCCAUGGGAGCCGGGGGUACCUGAAGUGCGUAACCGCGAGGAGCGCCCUAGGGUAAAACUGGUGACUGGGGCU